ensembl:lncRNA
AUGAUGGCUUUAUUUUGCCACAGUGUGGCUCUCCUAUGCAUGGCUGCUUCUGCCAUUGUGGCACAAGAAGAUGACUUCUCUGGAUCAUAUCUGUCUAGGGAAUACCUCCUUGGUGCCUUCAUCCACAUCUUGGCAACAGUGGAGCAGAAGGACCAUCAGCCCUUGCUGCUGAGUGUGGCGACCGCAACACCAGAGCUGCAUUCGGUGGGCUCCGUGUACCUCUUCGCCAAGGAGUUUUUACAAUUUGGUUUUACAGCAGGAUGUGACUAGUGCUUUUGUGCGAUGUGGAUUCAUGUGGCGAACCAUUCCUGAUUGAUGGUAAACCAUUUGACAUGUCUGGUGGAUAGCAAGACUUCAAAUUCAAUUUGAACCAAGACAAAACAUUUCUGAAAUCUGUCUCUCUGCAAGCCUUCAAGUUCACCGUUGAAGUGGUAAACUUAUGUGACUUACAUUUUGACACUGAUGAAUAUGAGCACUGAUCCCUAAUCUCUUAUCAGGUCUAUAUACACUGCAAACUUUUGGCCUGGAACCCCAGCGGCCUUGAUACCAGCAGGAAGGCCUGCCAUUAUGUGCAAGGGCAUGGGUAAAAAAUAUUGUAUACGCCUAUUCAAUUGAACUACUUUUACUGAAAGGAGGGACCUCAACUUGCCCAAAGUAUCUAAUUUGGAGAGAAACGGUGCCAUUCAAAUCUUGACUUAAUUUUUAAAAAUCAGUUUGGACCUCCUUGAUGACCCCUCCCACAGUAACCUCUGUAGCUGCUGUGACUUCAGCUGCAAGUCCCAGAAGGGGAGUAAACAUCAGGUUUUACAUGACUUGAGUGGGGUGCAGAAAGAUUAACUUACUUAUCGUCCCAGGGCACUAGAAUGGGAUGUCGGGGGGGGGGGGGGGGGGGGGGGGGGAAGGCAUGUCCAGCCACCCUUUUCAAUGCUUUAAACUCUUUUUUUUUUUUUAAAUGUUUAGGUCAACUCAAAAUACUGGCCUGUGACGUGAACCUGGUUUUGUUACACCCCAAAUGAUCAUGUCAAAGUUCAUUUUUGUAUAUUCUGUUUCAUUGACAUGUUAGCUGAACUGUACUUGUGUGUGUUUCAGGUGUGACCCUGAGUACAGCUGGGUUUCCUGGGAGAUGGGCAGCCAUCUAUCGUGCAUGUCCUGACUCUGGAAUGGUUGACGUGAUUUGAAAUAAUGUGUCGCUUUUUCUUGGUUUUAUUCUCACUUGUUAUCUAACAAGAACCCAAGGUCAAGCACAUUAGACUUGACUGUGCCAUGAGUUUCAACUCUAUUUUACAAGCAGGUCAUUGUGCCGAUGUGAUGCAAGUAAAUGGUUUGAGGCCUUUUAUUAAACCAAGCGCGCUUAGGCAAUUGUAUAGUUCAACUAUGCUUAAAAGGAGAUCAGAAAUCCAUGGACUGUGAUAGACUUGUCUUCAUGAUCUCAAACCAGAUGACUUGUUUCAAGGCUCACGUAAUUCUCUCUCCAGUUGUAGCACCACUGCAUUGUCUGUAGUCGCCAGCGUUUUGAUAUUCAUAGAUACUGUUUCUACGACAGCCUAGAUAUGUGCUUCAUAACCGCUGCUAUUGACUCUGCAGUACCUUCACUGUCUGAAAAUGCCUGUAUUUGUGAAAUAAUUGAGUGCUGUAGUCUUGGUUAUUACAAUGGUAAAAAUAUGCGGAUGAGUCUGUAAGCGCUGCAGUAUUUAAGCUGUUUCUGUAGGUCAAGGUGAUGUCCUGAUUGGCGGGGCCUAUAUUGACCUAGCAGAAAAGGCAACCUUUUAUGAACUGAGGUAUUUGUUACAGAUAACUAACCAGUCACGGGAAGCCGGCGCCAAGUCACUCCAUUACACUAUUUUGAAAAACAAGUCUCACUUUCAGUCAGAUUAAUGUUUAUUUUAAUAGUAGCUGAGCUUUCAGUCAGUUGCUCUGCAGAGCAUAUCUCUACAGUGGGACAGAAAUAAUAUGAUAAUAUAAUAAUAUGACAUGUGGUAAUCUGAAGUACCCAAAAAAUCCACUCGCAGAAUCAGAAAUACAAAUACUAGAUGAAUAUUUCCACUGCAAAUACUAGAUGAAUAUUUCCACUGCAAAUACUAGAUGAAUAUUUCCACUGCAAAUACUAGAUGAAUAUUUCCACUGCAAAUACUAGAUGAAUAUUUCCACUGCAAAUACUAGAUGAAUAUUUCCACUGCAAAUACUAGAUGAAUAUUUCCACUGCAAAUACUAGAUGAAUAUUUCCACUGCAAAUACUAGAUGAAUAUUUCCACUGCAAAUAAUAGAUGAAUAUUUCCACUGCAAAUACUAGAUGAAAUACUAGAAAAAAAUGAUUUGUAUAAGGAACCCAUGCUUUCAAAAAGAGCAAUAGCGCAACAAUGGAAGAAACAAAAUAUGCCUUUUCCCACUAUUGUUCUGAUGGUUUACUACCUGAAAGUUUAGCUACUAUUAAAAUUAAUUUAGGAAGUGUUCUGAGGCGUUAUGCAUUUUGCCUCCUGCACCUUCACUAAUCUGUUUUGGGUGUGCUGGAGAUUCUGCCUAUUAUCCACAAAAUAUUUCACCUUCAUUUGCUCUCCAGUUCUUCCGCUAGGUGUUCACUUGCCUGUAGUCUGGCCUCAAUGGCUUUCAGUUCAACAUCUUGUGCUUAAACACGCAAGCAAAACCAAUCAAUAUCACACAAAGGCUAUUUAGUUGUAAUGCAGUGUGUAGGCACGUAGCUCAGCAGCUGUGAGAUCCCCUACCUUCAUUCUGUCUGAUCAGGUCUGCCACCUGGUUUUCAGGCUGACUUCCACUUCAGCAAGUUCCAUCUUGGUGUAUUUCAGUUCAACGAUUUGCUCUACCAACAUCUCUCAUCUGUCUCAGCUCAUUCACUCAGAUAUCAUUAACUUUGUCUGCCACUGACAGACAGCAGCACAGUACCAACAGAACUACGGUGGUCUCCAUACUAUAGUAGGCCUAUACCUAACCUCAGUGGUGUAAAGUACUUCAGUAAAAAUACUUUAAAGUACUACUUAAGUAGUUUUCCAGGGUGUCUGUACUUUACUAUUUAUAUUUUUGACUUCUUUUACUUCACUACAUUACUAAGGAAAAUACCCGUUACAUUUUGAAAGCUUAACAGGACAGGAACAUUUUCCAAUUCACAUACUUUUUUGAAGAAAACAUCCCUGGUCAUUCCUACUGCCUCUGAUCUGGUGGACUCACUAAACACAAAUGCUUAAUUUGUAAAUCAUGUCUGAGUGUUGGUGUGUGCCCUUGACUAUCAGUAAAAUAAACUUGUGCCAUUUGGAUUGCAUAAUAUAGUAAUUUGAAAUGAUAUAUACUUUUACUUUUGAUACUUAAGUAUAUUGUUGCAAUUAAAUGUACUUUGAUACUCAAG